AUACGGAAGGUCCGGGCGUUAUCCGGAUUUAUUGGGUUUAAAGGGAGCGCAGGCGGAGAUGCAAGCGUGACGUCAAAUUUCGGGGCUCAACCCCGUCCCGCGUCGCGAACUGCGUCCCUUGGUUGCGGGAAGGGGAGGCGGAACUCGGGGUGUAGCGGUGAAAUGCAUAGAUAUCACGAAGAACUCCGAUCGCGAAGGCAGCCUUCCGGCCCGUCAACGACGCUCAUGCUCGAAGGUGCGGGUAUCAAACAGGAUUAGAUACCCUGGUAGUCCGCACAGUAAACGAUGGACACCCGCGGUUUGGCCUGUAUGGCUGAGCCGCCAAGCGAAAGCGUUAAGUGUCCCACCUGGGGAGUACGCCGGCAACGGUGAAACUCAAAGGAAUUGACGGGG
rnacentral:rRNA from 1 species